rnacentral:misc_RNA from 1 species
GCACGUACAGAUGGACACGAAUAGGCUUCGGCUUAGCGUCUUAGCAGGCGAUUACUCCACUGCUCUCGAAGCGAGUAGUGGUAUUUCGCGAAUUGUAAUUUCAGCACGAGCGGGGUUAAAUCCUUUGCAGACGACUUAGAUGUGCGAAAGGGUCCUGUAAGCAGUAGAGUAGCCUUGUUGUUACGAUCUGCUGAGGGUAAGCCCUCCUUCGCCUCGAUUUCCUCAUGAACUCCAGCGGCCGACGGCCGCGAGCACACGAGGGUUAGGGGACUGCCGCGGGCAGGGACUUGAGGGGCCGCGCCGACGAUUCGGUGCGGCCAAGUCUCGUCUCGACGACGCAAGUACCCUGGAAAGGAUAUUGCGGACGGCCGUGACGGCCAAGUGCGUGUCCGCGACGCCAGGUACCCUGGAAGGGACGCGGUCGAGGCCCGAGACGUGCAACGCAGAACGAAGUGCCCGAGUGCGCCGGGUACCCUGCAAUAGGCUUUAGAGGGCGAGGCGCCAGGUACCCCGGAAAGGGCCUGGGGUGGCCAAGUACCCUGGAGAGCGAUUCCCUAGUACCCUGGAAAGGAGAUGGAUGCUGAGCCCCCUGGAAUGGCCAAGUACCCUGGAGCAGAAUUCCCGAGUACCCCGGAAAGCGAUUCCCAAGUACCCUGGAGCAGAAUUCCCGAGUACCCCGGAAAGCGAUUCCCAGGUACCCUGGAAAGCAAUUCCUACGCACCCUGGAGCAGAAUUCCCGAGUACCCCGGAAAGCGAUUCCCAAGUACCCUGGAAAGCAGUUCCCAAGUACCCUGGAGCAGAAUUCCCAGGUACCCUGGAAAGCAAUUCCUACGCACCCUGGAGCAGAAUUCCCGAGUACCCCGGAAAGCGAUUCCCAAGUACCCUGGAAAGCAAUUCCUACGCACCCUAGGGCGGAAUUCCCAGGUACCCUGGAAAGCAAUUCCUACGCACCCUAGGGCGGAAUUCCCAAGUACCCUAGGGUAGAAGCCUUAAGUACCCUAUAAAGCAGUCUUUAGGUACCUUAGAAAGGAGAUCCUAAGUGUAAAUAUUUUUUCGGUAAAUAAAAUAGACAUAGAAGUAGCUGUAGUAGAGAAGUAGUAGGAUUAGAAGCGUUACUUAUACUAAGGCCUAUAUUAUAAAACUGUUAAAUAGGGUACUAGAAAAUAAAAGAGUUAUUAAGGGACUAUACAAAGGAGGUUAGAUUAAGAGGGGAGCUUUUUCUUAAAAGGUAAGUAGUAUUCUACUUUUAUACAGUCACCUCUCUUAAUAAGGGUAGAAGAUAAGAUAGAAAUAGGCUAUCUAUACAGGUAAGGAUAUAUAGUAACGCCUACAUAGUAUAAAGAAUAGAGUGUCUAAGUAUAGUAGUAAAAGUAAAUAGUACUAAGACUAGAAUAAUAUAUACUUAUAUAUUAGAUUCUAAGACGUAUAUACAAGAGAGAAGCUUUAAUGCUUAUAGUAGACUAUAGGUUUAUAAAGAAUAGAGAUAAGUAAAGACGGAGAUAAAGGCAGACCUCUAAAGGAAAGCUACUUUAUGGAAAGGAAGUCUAGGUACCCUAGGAAGGCCAAGUACCCUGGAAAGAACGUCCUAGGUACCCUGGAAAGGCCAAGUACCCUGGAAAAAGUCCCAGGUACCCUGGAAAGGCCAAGUACCCUGGAAAAAGUCCCAGGUACCCUGGAAAGGCCAAGUACCCUGGAAAAAGUCCCAGGUACCCUGGAAAGGCCAAGUACCCUGGAAAAAGUCCCAGGUACCCUGGAAAGGCCAAGUACCCUGGAAAAAGUCCCAGGUACCCUGGAAAGGCCAAGUACCCUGGAAAAAGUCCCAGGUACCCUGGAAAGGCCAAGUACCCUGGAAAAAGUCCCAGGUACCCUGGAAAGGGACUUUCUACCUUGGCGCCUAGGCUAUAAGUAGGUAGUAUAGGGCUGUAGAGCGCCUCUAGGGGAGCCUAGCGCACCAGGCCCUAUAGCUAUAGCGCCUACAGCGGGCGAGAAAACCGCUGCGGAAGUUCAAAAAACCGGCGGUUGGACUGCGGGGUGGGCGCCCGCGGGCUGCCCGGCACGGCGGGCUUAUAGAGCUCGCUGCGGCGGUUACAGCGCCGUAAGGCCCUAUACGGUAGGCACUAUAGCGCUGGAGAUACGGCGGCCCAAAGCCGCAGGUACCCUGGAAGGCAAUUGUCAAGUACCCUGGAAGGGAAAAAGAGGUGGGCCGCAGGGCGCCGCCGAGCAGCUGGUGGCGGCGACGACGUGGGCGGUCGACGGGCAUACCUGGGUUUUGCGUGCGGGAUCGGAUAAGGUUUUGGUGGCCGUGAGUCGAUUUUUUUGUUUUCCCAUACAAAUCUUUUUUUCGGGAAAUGUUUUUUCGGGACAGAAGCAGGUGGAGCGGGGCCGGGGCGCAAAAAGUGUCGCAGGGCCUAUGAGAAGAGAGCGAGUGCAGCCAACCGGCGGCACAGCGCAACUGCUCCACCCGCUGAGGGUGCGCGCUGUAGAAAUACAGCGCAACCGUCCCAUAUCUUAAUGACUGCUGCGUGGCGUCUCUCUGAACAGCCUCGCAGGUAUCUUCCUCGGUGGCGGGGAGUUCGUAGCAGCAGUCGACGCCCACUGUGGUGCACCGCUAAGGCGGCGCAUCAUCCUGGGAGUGCCCGGAGGGUUUGGGGGUCACGAGCCCCUAGACCCGAAGGAUGGGUUCUGUGGAUGAAUGGCCGUUGGCUAUACUUACACUGAGCAUCGGGAGAGAAACGCCCGCGGUCGGACGCUGAAUAGCUGAAGCCGCGGGGCCAGUUGCUCCUCUUGGGACCCCCCAACCACGCAACCCCCCCGGGGGCACAGCGCGGUGAACGGGGUCCUGGGGAAUUCAGAGGGGGAAAGCGGAAGCUUCCUCUGCGCCUACGGCCUAGCCGGACGGCCGCAGGGGGGGCGCGAGCGCUGUUUCGGCAGCGUGAGCGAUUCCGGUGACUAAAACGCUUCGGCCGCUGCUUGCAGCGCCGAUGGCCGGCUCACCCCGGCGCACGA